rnacentral:lncRNA from 1 species
UCCCCCGCCGGGAGGGGAAGGGCCGUCCCCCUAGUGCUGCUUUCAGGGCCAAAGUAGGUUGCGAGUGGGAGGCGGUGGCUGCGGCUCCACGGCUUGGGGAAGAUGGCGCCGCCGGUGACGGAACGGGGGCUGAAGAGCGUCGUGUGGCGGAAAAUAAAAACAACAGUGUUUGAUGACUGCCGGAAAGAAGGCGAGUGGAAGGUAGAAGCCGCAUGAUUUGCUCCUGUGGGGAGGGCUUCAGCUCAUUGUGCUUGGGUGCUCCCAGGGGAUGUAGGCCUAGAACUCACUUUGCACCUUACUUUGCCACAGUCUGUGGCACCUUAAGCCAGGCACAUAACAGUUCCUUGCUUUCUUGUCUGGAGGAUGGGAUGGUACGUCCCAUCUGCAAAUGCUAAAUGUUUGAACAGUGCUUUAUGCAAUAAUUCUGUAAGUGACAAUUACAUUUCAGAAAAUUUGAUGCUAAACAUUGAUAUACUUAACAUGAACAAGCUCUGCUUCAAAAUAGAAAUAUUUCUGUUUUCGUACCUGUAUGAAAUAUUUCCAUGUAUGUAUAUUGAGAAAGUACGCCACCAAAUCAAGGUAAAAGAGGAAUUUCUAAAACUUUUUUGUUAAUUCUUGACAAUCAGAUAUUUAUGCUCUUUCUUUUUUUUUUUUUUUUUUUUGGUUCUUUU